rnacentral:tRNA from 1 species
AAGAUGCUAGUAUAGUUGUUAAAACACUGCUUUGUCAAAGCAGAGCCGCGAGUUGGACUCUCGCGCAUCUUA